rnacentral:lncRNA from 1 species
GAGACCUUGAUAGGUUCAAUCUACUUGGUCCUCCGACUCUCUUUCUUUUAUUCCCAUUUCCUUCCAGGUUUGCGGUCCCCCUCGCACCCACGAAUAACUGAAUCCCGUGGGAGGGGAUAAGUGGCGCCCGACGUGAGGGCGAGGUCCGGAUCGUAAUUCCUAAUCAGUGGAGGUUCCAGAGAAGUUCGUCGCGACCCCAAGAAUUUAAAAGUAGUGAAGGACACCUUCCGCUGCUCACGGAAGAGCGAGAAGUCCUUGGUUUGCGGUCCCCCUCGCACCCACGAAUAACUGAAUCCCGUGGGAGGGGAUAACC